GACGAACGCUGGCGGCGUGCUUAACACAUGCAAGUCGAACGGAAAGGCCCUGCUUUUGUGGGGUGCUCGAGUGGCGAACGGGUGAGUAACACGCGUGUAACCUGCCCUUGACUUUGGGAUAACUUCAGGAAACUGGGGCUAAUACCGGAUAGGAGCUCCUGCUGCAUGGUGGGGGUUGGAAAGUUUCGGCGGUUGGGGCUGGACUCGCGGCUUAUCAGCUUGUUGGUGGGGUAGUUGCUUACCAAGGCUUUGACGGGUAGCCGGCCUGGGAGGGUGACCGGCCACAUUGGGACUGAGAUACGGCCCAGACUCCUACGGGAGGCAGCAGUGGGGAAUAUUGCACAAUGGGCGGAAGCCUGAUGCAGCAACGCCGCGUGCGGGAUGACGGCCUUCGGGUUGUAAACCGCUUUCGCCUGUGACGAAGCGUGAGUGACGGUAAUGGGUAAAGAAGCACCGGCUAACUACGUG
rnacentral:rRNA from 1 species